AGCAGCCGCGGUAAUUCCAGCUCCAAUAGCGUAUAUUAAAGUUGUUGCAGUUAAAAAGCUCGUAGUUGAAUUUCGGGAUCAAUAUGUUGGUCGUGCCUUGGUACGUACUGGCGUCAUUGAUUUCUACCUUCUGAAGAACCUCGAUGUCAUUAAUUUGGUGUCUUGGGGGAAUCAGGACUGUUACUUUGAAAAAAUUAGAGUGUUUAAAGCAAGCUCACGCUUGAAUACAUUAGCAUGGAAUAAUGAAAUAGGACGUUUGAUUCUAUUUUGUUGGUUUCUAGGAUCGACGUAAUGAUUAAUAGGGAUAGUUGGGGGCAUUAGUAUUCAAUUGUCAGAGGUGAAAUUCUUGGAUUUAUUGAAGACUAACUACUGCGAAAGCAUUUUGCCAAGGAUGUUUUCAUUAAUCAAGAACGAAAGUUAGGGGAUCGAGGACGAUCAGAUACCGUCGUAGUCUUAACCAUAAACUAUGCCGACUAGGGAUCGGAUGAUGUUAAUUUUUUCAAUGACUCAUUCGGCGCCU
rnacentral:misc_RNA from 1 species